rnacentral:rRNA from 1 species
UACGUAGGCAGCGAGCGUUGUUCGGAGUUACUGGGCGUAAAGGGUGUGUAGGCGGUUGUUCAAGUUUGGUGUGAAAUCUCCCGGCUCAACUGGGAGGGUGCGCCGAAUACUGAAUGACUAGAGUGCGGGAGAGGAAAGUGGAAUUCCUGGUGUAGCGGUGAAAUGCGUAGAUAUCAGGAGGAACACCGGUGGUGUAGACGGCUUUCUGGACCGUAACUGACGCUGAGACACGAAAGCGUGGGUAGCAAACAGG